CGGGCUGUGGGUUAGCAGGCCCCGGCAGGCUCUGAGGAAACGGAGCGCCACGCUGUGCUGAGCCUGCCGCAGAACCAUGGAGAUCGGCACCGAGAUCAGCCGCAAGAUCCGGAGUGCCAUUAAGGGGAAGUUGCAAGAAUUAGGAGUUUACGUUGGCUUCAUGGUGUAUCAGAUAAACUUCGCUCUGUGACAACUGAACCCCCUAGUCUAAAGUCUUCUGAUACUAACAUCUUUGACAGCAACGUGCCUUCAAACAAGAGCAAUUUCAGUCGGGGAGAUGAGAGAAGGCAUGAAGCUGCAGUGCCACCCCUUGCCAUUUCUAACACUAGACCUGAAAAAAGAAAUUCCAGAGUUUCUACAAGUUCACAGAAGCAGAAAACCACUAACGUCAGACAGGCUUAUGAUGAUGGAGCUGCAACUCGACUAAUGUCAACAGUGAAACCUUUGAGGGAACCAGCACCCUCUGAAGAUGUGAUUGCUAUUAAGCCAGAACCAGAUGAUCUCAUUGAUGAAGACCUCAAUUUUGUGCAGGAGAAUCUCUUAUCUCAGAAAAAACCUACAGUGACACUUACAUAUGGUUCUGCUCGCCCUUCUAUUGAAAUUUAUUGACCACCUGCAAGUCGAAAUGCAGCCAGUGGUGUUCAUUUAAACAGAAUGCAAUUUCAACAGCAGCAAAACAGUAUUCAUGCUGCCAAGCAACUUGAUACACAAAACAGCCACGUGUAUGAAAUAGGACAUUUGUGUGAACCAGAAGUGCUUAGUAGCUUAGAAGAGACUUAUAGCCCCUUUAGAAACAACUCAGAAAAAAUGAGUAUUGAGGACGAAAACUUUCGAAAGAGAAAGUUGCCUGUGGUAAGUUCAGUUGUUAAAGUAAAAAAAUUUAAUCAUGAUGGAGAAGAGGAGGAAGAUGAUGAUUAUGGGUCCCGAACAGGAGGCGUCUCCAGCAGCGUGUCUGUGCCAGCAAAGCCUGAAAGGAGACCUUCUCUUCCACCUUCUAAACAAGCCAACAAGAAUCUAACUUUGAAGGCUGUAUCUGAAGCUCAAGAAUCUGUAACAAAAACAACUAUUCUACAGUCCCACAGAAACAGACACUUCCAGUUUCUCCCAGAACCUGAACUUCUCAGGAAGAACUGCUAGCAGAAGUGGUCCAGGGACAAAGCAGGACCCCCAGAAUAAGUUCCCCCAUUAAAGAAGAGGAGGCAAAAGGAGAUAAUAUAGAAAAAAGUCGAGGAACUCAACAGAGGCAGUUAUUAUCCCAACUGCAAAUUGACCCAGUAAUGGCAGAAACUCUGCAAAUCAGUCAAGCUGAGAUGAGUGAACUGAGUGUGGCACAGAAACCAGAAAAGCUUUUGGAGUGCUACAAGUACUGGCCUGCUUGUAAAAAUGGGGAUGAGUGUGUUCACCAUCAUCCCAUCUCCCCUUGCAAAGCCUACCCCAAUUGUAAAUUGGCUGAAAAAUGUUUGUUUGUUCACCCAAAUUGUAAAUAUGAUGCAAAGGGUACUAAACCAGAUUGUCCUUUUACUCAUGUGAGUAGAAGAAUUCCAGUACUGCCUCCCAAACCAGCAGUUGCAACAGCAACACCACUUUCUGGUAGUCAGCUCUGCCGUUACUUCCCAGCAUGUAAGAAAAUGGAAUAUCCCUUCUAUCAUCCAAAACACUGUAGGUUUAACACUCAGUGUACAAGACCGGAUUGCACGUGUUACCAUCCCACCAUUACUGUAUCACCACGACAUGCCUUGAAAUGGAUUCGACCUCAAACCAGCGAAUGACACCCAGUCCUGCCAGGCAGAAGAUCAUGCAGUUUGAAAGUUUCCAUCUACUGAUGAAAGAUAUUCUACAGAACUUGUCAAAUCUUUGAAACUUGGAAUAUAUUGCUUUCAUAAUAUGAA